rnacentral:rRNA from 1 species
UUAAAUUGAAGAGUUUGAUCAUGGCUCAGAUUGAACGCUGGCGGCAGGCCUAACACAUGCAAGUCGAACGGUAACAGGAAGCAGCUUGCUGCUUUGCUGACGAGUGGCGGACGGGUGAGUAAUGUCUGGGAAACUGCCUGAUGGAGGGGGAUAACUACUGGAAACGGUGGCUAAUACCGCAUAACGUCGCAAGACCAAAGAGGGGGACCUUCGGGCCUCUUGCCAUCAGAUGUGCCCAGAUGGGAUUAGCUUGUUGGUGAGGUAACGGCUCACCAAGGCGACGAUCCCUAGCUGGUCUGAGAGGAUGACCAGCCACACUGGAACUGAGACACGGUCCAGACUCCUACGGGAGGCAGCAGUGGGGAAUAUUGCACAAUGGGCGCAAGCCUGAUGCAGCCAUGCCGCGUGUAUGAAGAAGGCCUUCGGGUUGUAAAGUACUUUCAGCGGGGAGGAAGGUGUUGUGGUUAAUAACCACAGCAAUUGACGUUACCCGCAGAAGAAGCACCGGCUAACUCCGUGCCAGCAGCCGCGGUAAUACGGAGGGUGCAAGCGUUAAUCGGAAUUACUGGGCGUAAAGCGCACGCAGGCGGUCUGUCAAGUCGGAUGUGAAAUCCCCGGGCUCAACCUGGGAACUGCAUUCGAAACUGGCAGGCUUGAGUCUUGUAGAGGGGGGUAGAAUUCCAGGUGUAGCGGUGAAAUGCGUAGAGAUCUGGAGGAAUACCGGUGGCGAAGGCGGCCCCCUGGACAAAGACUGACGCUCAGGUGCGAAAGCGUGGGGAGCAAACAGGAUUAGAUACCCUGGUAGUCCACGCCGUAAACGAUGUCUACUUGGAGGUUGUGCCCUUGAGGCGUGGCUUCCGGAGCUAACGCGUUAAGUAGACCGCCUGGGGAGUACGGCCGCAAGGUUAAAACUCAAAUGAAUUGACGGGGGCCCGCACAAGCGGUGGAGCAUGUGGUUUAAUUCGAUGCAACGCGAAGAACCUUACCUGGUCUUGACAUCCACGGAAGUUUUCAGAGAUGAGAAUGUGCCUUCGGGAACCGUGAGACAGGUGCUGCAUGGCUGUCGUCAGCUCGUGUUGUGAAAUGUUGGGUUAAGUCCCGCAACGAGCGCAACCCUUAUCCUUUGUUGCCAGCGGUUAGGCCGGGAACUCAAAGGAGACUGCCAGUGAUAAACUGGAGGAAGGUGGGGAUGACGUCAAGUCAUCAUGGCCCUUACGACCAGGGCUACACACGUGCUACAAUGGCGCAUACAAAGAGAAGCGACCUCGCGAGAGCAAGCGGACCUCAUAAAGUGCGUCGUAGUCCGGAUUGGAGUCUGCAACUCGACUCCAUGAAGUCGGAAUCGCUAGUAAUCGUGGAUCAGAAUGCCACGGUGAAUACGUUCCCGGGCCUUGUACACACCGCCCGUCACACCAUGGGAGUGGGUUGCAAAAGAAGUAGGUAGCUUAACCUUCGGGAGGGCGCUUACCACUUUGUGAUUCAUGACUGGGGUGAAGUCGUAACAAGGUAACCGUAGGGGAACCUGCGGUUGGAUCACCUCCUUACCU